GUUUUUCAACCACAGUACCUUUC
rnacentral:sRNA from 1 species